rnacentral:lncRNA from 1 species
CUUUCUUGUGGAUGGCGUUGCAUGCUGAAUUACAUUUACUAAAGGAAGGAAAGUAAUGUUGUCAAAGUCUCUUGACUGUCUCUGUGCUGCCAGAAAGCUCAAUGUUGUGCACUGUAAAACAGAAUCGGAGACUGGAAAAGCAUGCACGUUUUGCAAACAGCAGCAUUAAUUACAGGUUAUUAAACAGAAAGGAAGAAUUUCACUCAGUCACAGCUUUGAUUGUCCCGUCAGUGUUUGCUCACAAGAAACAAUGGAUCACAUUUUUCAUUUCUUUGGUGAGUUAUCACUUUCAAAUGUCUUUUUAUUCUUGUAUGGAUUGGAAUAGAUGCAUCUGAAACUGAAAGCAUCGUAUUUCAUCCUGAUUGCCUGAAAGAAAUGCUUG